CAGGGAGACAAUUAAUUGAUUGUGAUGUCUAGGUAUUUUAUUCUUAGGCCACAAUCCUGUCACCUUAGGUCGAUCGGUACCUCAGAUUUUUGAAUUAAUUUUAUAAUUAAUCCUUGAAUUUCAGUUCCUAAACUUGUCUAGGUCACCACCCAACAAGGGUUUCUCCUGGGCCAUUAGCUCAGGUGGUUAGAGCGCACCCCUGAUAAGGGUGAGGUCCCUGGUUCAAGUCCAGGAUGGCCCAUUCGUUGUUGGGGGUAUAGCUCAGUUGGUAGAGCGCCUGCUUUGCAAGCAGGAUGUCAGCGGUUCGAGUCCGCUUACCUCCACUGAAAACUACCGUGAUAACUAAAUUUCAGGAGAAAAUUUGAAAAUGUGACCUAGAAUUGUCUAUCUGAGAAGAACCUAGCUUCUUAUCAUCUUUUUUUUAGUUGAUAAUAUGCUGGGCUCGCGUGGAACUAUUUCCAUGUGAAUUCAGUAGAACCUUGAAAACUGCAUAGAUUGAAAGAAUAAAGCAUCUCAUGGAUGCAUAGUUUUGAUUUGUUUUUUUAGCUUUAAAACUAAAUGAUCAAUUUUCAAAAUUCAUGUUUAAUUCUUGAGUAAAAGCCGAGCACAAUUGAUUUUGUGAUUGUAUUUAA
rnacentral:tRNA from 1 species